UGGGGUGUGGCUCAGUGGUAGAGCACCGGCCUAGCAUUUGGGAGGCCCUGGGUUCCGAUCCUUAGCACCACAA
rnacentral:tRNA from 1 species